UGACUAACGACAAACCUGUCCGACUAAUACAUUGAGACCGGUUUUGUCCACUUUACAAAGAAUUGGGUAGUCAUGACAAGUAAAUGAUCCCUUUUGGUUCUGAGGUCAGUCAAAGGUUACAAUAGCGUUGACUACUAAAAACUUGCCUGACCAGAUCUGGCCUACAGUUGAAAUAUUUGGAAAGGAGAAUAGCAAUAACUAGCUGAUAACUCUUCCAGGACAUUUGGCCAAGGUACCGUUAUCUUGACCACCAAAAGGUUUUCUGUUUAAUAGCUCAAGAACGAUUUGGUCUUUAAUCAUUAGAUUUGAUGUAGAGGGUUGUAAUGGCUAGUAAAUGAUCCUUAUUUAUUUUGAGGUUUAAUAUCGGCUACUAAAACAUAAGAACUCUGACCUAUAAUAUCAUAUAUUUAGUUUGGAGUUUGGUCAUGAGUAGUUAAUGACCCCAUUUGAUUUUUAGGUCAAAGGUCUAUGUCACCGAGGUUUGGUUUUGACUACUUAAAGCCUGGCUAUAAACUUUGAGAAUAUAUAGGACCUCGUUACAUUAAUGUACAGCAUUUUACACCAAUACGAUUCUGUAUUCAUGUAAGCAACUUGAGGUCAAGGCCACCGCUCUCCCUUCUCUUGUUUACUUUUACAAAUACUAUGUAGAUACGUGAAAAUUCAAAGUUUUAGUUCAUAGAGACAAUGAAAGGUUGCAUCUCACUCUCCCACGUUUUACGCUUGAUACAUGUAUCUUAUUACAUUAAACAGUAUCUCAAUUAAUAAAGUUAAUUAUAAAUAAGUAUAAUUUUGUACUUACAUUUUCUUGACUAUACGGGAAGUGCAUGUUACAGAGAAUUUACGUUACGUCAAUCAUGCUUUGUCUGAGGUAAUUAUCAACAUUGCAGUGUGUACAUGUCUUUUCUGCUAGAUUGUUUCGUCUGCUACCUGUUUAUUAUUUCGAUGUAAUUAUAUGAUUUUGAAAGGUUCCUAGUGAACGCAAAUAGGAGGAUUUGAAAAACACAAGAACUGAUUUUCGGACACAUCUUUUGAGACAAAAUGUGGCAGCUUUGCUCAUCUUUGCAAGCGAUGUUGUGUUUAAUAAGCACUGUGUUGUUUUUCUGGGCUCUCUGGACUCUAUUCGCGACAGACGAUUACGUAAUACGUUGUGAAAAGUUAUCGGAAGAAAACUCAAUCGUCUAUGUCAUUUUACAACUUUUAAGUUCAUUGUUCGAAGUGACUUGGACGCUUUUAAAAUUAACGAGUAUUUUGAUGGAAUAUUGUGUAAACUGUGCUGUCUGCUUGCUGAACAUGGUUUCAGAAUUGUUAUAUCUUGUAAAUCGGUAAUAGAUUUAAUUGUUAUUAAAAUCAACUUCGUACCCUGCUAAUCUAAGGCACAUCGCCUAGUGCAAUCAACUUGUUCAGCAUGAUAGAAGCAGAUGCUUAGCAUAUAUCUCCAUAGUGAUCGUAACAAAGGUUUCGAAAAAAGAGAGGAAAUAUCUGUGGACUUUAAUUUGUAUUGUGAAUUGUUAAAUUUAGUUUAUGUCAGUGUUCAUUGGUAUAUAAGCAUAUUUGCAAAAUCAUUUUUGUCUAGUAGGAUUGCAGUAUUUCAAAUGAAUCGUUACAUAUUUUCUUUGUUAAAUUAUGUGCCUAUUAAUCUGUCUAGUAAAUCGACUGUUUAUUAAAAAUUUAUUUCAAACACUUCAUUGUUCAUUAGUAAGCAUUUACCAAAAUAAAUUGAUCGAAGGACAGCGCCGUUCUUAGCCAAUUUAAUUUAGUUAAUACUAUCUUAUGAACAGUAACCUAUAACACUAGCUGUGCAACCAAUUUGAGUGUUUAAAUUCUUUGUUUUCUAUAAAGAGUCAAUUUACUAGAGUAGUAAUCCUUUACCGCGAUUCGUUUAAAAUACUGAAAUGCUGCUGGACAAAAUUGAUUAUAAAAUCUAGUGAAUUUGAAUGUGUCUUAAAUGCAUUUGAUAACGUAUAAAUUUAUUUUACUUAUCCAGGUUAAUGGUUUCUAUAAUAUAAAUGCAGUACUUUUAUUUUUGAUCUCGUUUGAAUAUUGAAAUUGCUUACAGUAAAAUUUGCAUUGAA